ACUGGCCCUAACUUAAUGCUCAUUCAGACCCCACCGAAAGGCGUUGGUUGCUCUAGACAGCAGGACGGUGGCCAUGGAAGUCGGAAUCCGCUAAGGAGUGUGUAACAACUCACCUGCCGAAGCAACUAGCCCUUAAAAUGGUAUGGCGCUGAAGCAUUGUCCCGAUACUCGACCGCCGGGGCACUAGCGGCCACGUCCCAGAGGCGGGGUCUCGAAGCCCCGGUGAGUAAGAGGGUUGCAGUGGUGAGCGCUGAAGGGAUCCGGCGUGAGCCGGCCUGGAGCCGCCACUGGUGCAGAUCUUGGUGGUAGUAGCAAAUACUCGAGAGAGACUCCCUUGAAGACCGAUGUGGGGAAGGGUUCCAUGUGAACAUCAGUUGGACAUGGGUCAGUCGCUCCUAAGCCCAAGGCUAAGGCCUGAUCCCAUGCUAGCGGC
rnacentral:rRNA from 1 species